rnacentral:rRNA from 1 species
CCGCAAUGGGCGAAAGCCUGACGGAGCAAUACCGCGUGAGGGAGGAAGGCUCUUGGGUCGUAAACCUCUUUUCUCAGGGAAGAACACAAUGACGGUACCUGAGGAAUAAGCAUCGGCUAACUCCGUGCCAGCAGCCGCGGUAAUACGGAGGAUGCAAGCGUUAUCCGGAAUGAUUGGGCGUAAAGCGUCCGCAGGUGGCUAUGUAAGUCUGCUGUUAAAGAAUCUAGCUUAACUAGAUAAGAGCAGUGGAAACUACAAGGCUAGAGUACGUUCGGGGCAGAGGGAAUUCCUGGUGUAGCGGUGAAAUGCGUAGAGAUCAGGAAGAACACCGGUGGCGAAGGCGCUCUGCUAGGCCGUAACUGACACUGAGGGACGAAAGCUAGGGGAGCGAAUGGGAUUAGAUACCCCAGUAGUCCUAGCCGUAAACGAUGGAUACUAGGCGUGGCUUGUAUCGACCCGAGCCGUGCCGUAGCUAACGCGUUAAGUAUCCCGCCUGGGGAGUACGCCGGCAACGGUGAAACUCAAAGGAAUUGACGGGGGCCCGCACAAGCGGUGGAGUAUGUGGUUUAAUUCGAUGCAACGCGAAGAACCUUACCAAGGCUUGACAUGUCGCGAAUCCUGGUGAAAGCUGGGAGUGCCUUCGGGAGCGCGAACACAGGUGGUGCAUGGCUGUCGUCAGCUCGUGUCGUGAGAUGUUGGGUUAAGUCCCGCAACGAGCGCAACCCUCGUUUUUAGUUGCCAGCAUUAAGUUGGGCACUCUAGAGAGACUGCCGGUGACAAACCGGAGGAAGGUGGGGAUGACGUCAAGUCAGCAUGCCCCUUACGCCUUGGGCUACACACGUACUACAAUGCUCCGGACAGAGGGCAGCGAGCCAGCGAUGGCAAGCAAAUCCCGUAAACCGGAGCUCAGUUCAGAUCGCAGGCUGCAACUCGCCUGCGUGAAGGAGGAAUCGCUAGUAAUUGCAGGUCAGCAUACUGCAGUGAAUUCGUUCCCGGGCCUUGUACACACCGCCCGUCACACCAUGGAAGCUGGUAGUGCCCGAAGUCAUUACUCCAA